GGAGAGUUUGAUCAUGGCUCAGAACUAACGCUGGCGGCGUGUCUUAGUCAUGCAAGUCGAACGAGAAAGCGUUCUUCGGAACGUGAGUACAGUGGCGGACGGGUGAGUAACACGUGGGGAACCUGCCCUCAAGCUGGGAACAACCCGCCUAACGGCGGGCUAAUACCGAAUGUGGUUGUCGCACCGCAUGGUAUGACAACUAAAGGUGGCCUCUCCUUGGAAGCUGCCGCUUGUGGAUGGCCCCGCGCUCAAUUAGCUAGUUGGUAGGGUAACGGCCUACCAAGGCGACGAUUGAUAGCCGACCUGAGAGGGUGAUCGGCCACACUGGGAUUGAGAUAAGGCCCAGUCUCCUACGGGAGCCAGCAGUCUAGAAAUUUGGGCAAUGGGCGAAAGCCUGACCCAGCGACGCCGCGUGGGGGAUGAAGCUUCUCGGAGUGUAAACCCCUGUUAGGUGGGACGAAAGCCCGUAUACGAAUAGUAGGCGGGUUUGACGGUACCACCAGAGGAAGCUCCGGCUAACUCCGUGCCAGCAGCCGCGGUAAUACGGGGGGAGCAAGCGUUGUUCGGAGUUAUUGGGCGUAAAGGGCGUACAGGCGGUGGUGUCAGUCAGAUGUGAAAUCCCCCGGCUCAACCGGGGACCUGCAUUUGAUACUGCAUCACUUGAGUACAGGAGAGGAGAGCGGAAUUUUCGGUGUAGCGGUGGAAUGUGUAGAUAUCGAAAAGAACACCAGUGGCGAAGGCGGCUCUCUGGCCUGAUACUGACGCUGACGCGCGAAAGCUAGGGGAGCAAACAGGAUUAGAUACCCUGG
rnacentral:rRNA from 2 species